rnacentral:rRNA from 1 species
GUGCCAGCCGCCGCGGUAAUACGGCGGGUGCAAGCGUUAUCCGGAAUUAUUGGGUUUAAAGGGUCCGCAGGCGGUUGAUUAAGUCAGAGGUGAAAUCCCAUAGCUCAACUAUGGAACUGCCUUUGAUACUGGUUGACUUGAGUUAUACGGAAGUAGAUAGAAUAAGUAGUGUAGCGGUGAAAUGCAUAGAGAUUACUUAGAAUACCGAUUGCGAAGGCAGCCUACUACGUAUAUACUGACGCUCAUGGACGAAAGCGUGGGGAGCGAACAGGGUUAGAUACCCUGGUAGUCCACGCCGUAAACGAUGGACACUAGUUGUUGGGUUUAUACUCAGUGACUAAGCGAAAGUGAUAAGUGUCCCACCUGGGGAGUACGGUCGCAAGACUGAAACUCAAAGAAAUUGACGG